rnacentral:misc_RNA from 1 species
CUGCAUCGAUGAAGAACGCAGCGAAAUGCGAUAAGUAAUGUGAAUUGCAGAAUUCAGUGAAUCAUCGAAUCUUUGAACGCACAUUGCGCCCACUAGUAUUCUAGUGGGCAUGCCUGUUCGAGCGUCAUUUCAACCCUCAAGCCUUAGUUGCUUGGUGUUGGGAGCUUGUCCUGCCGGAAGGCGGACAACUCCUUAAAACCAUUGGCGGAGUCGCGGUGACCCCAAGCGUAGUAAAUCUUUUUUUUCCCUCGCUUUAGGGGUUAACGCCGGCCUCUAGCCCUUAAACCCCCUAAUUUUUUAGUGGUUGACCUCGGAUCAGGUAGGACUACCCGCUGAACUUAAGCAUAUCAAUAAGCGGAGGAA